rnacentral:sRNA from 1 species
CUUGAGCGACCCCAGCCACAGCGGACGUCCACCGUCUCGCGCACCGUAGGUCGCGAUGAUCGCGUCGGCCUC